CAAGGCAGGGGAAUCACUUGAACCUGGGAGGCGGAGAUUGCAGUGAGCCGAGAUUGCACCAUUGCACUCCAGCCUGGAUGAUACAGAGAAACUGUCUCAAAAAAAAAAAAAAAAAAAAAAAUGUCAGCCAGGGCUGCAACUAUCUGAAGACUUGACUGGGGCUGGAGGAUCCACUUCCAAAACGUCACCCUUAGCUGGCGUUUGGCUGGAGGUCUCAGUUCCUUACCACAUGGGCUUUUGCACAAGCUGCUUGAAUUUUAUCAUGACAUGACACCUAACUUCCCCAGAGCAAGCAAUCCAAGAAAGCAAAGAAGACCUAGUACCAUUUCUGAUCUGGUCUGAGUCAAACACCAUCACAUUGCUUUAUUCAAGUCACUAAGUCCAGCCCAGAGUCAAGGAGAAGCCAAUUAGGUGUUAUUCUCUUUUCUUUCUUUCUUUCUUUCUUUCUUUUUUCUUUCUUUC
rnacentral:lncRNA from 1 species